GACGAACCGUACAAACGUUAUUCGGAAUCACUGGGCUUAAAGGGUGCGUAGGCGGCGGCGUAAGUUGGGUGUGAAAUCCCUCGGCUCAACCGAGGAACUGCGCUCAAAACUGCGUUGCUUGAGAGAGAUAGAGGUGAGUGGAACUUAGGGUGGAGCGGUGAAAUGCGUUGAUAUCCUAAGGAACACCAGUGGCGAAAGCGACUCACUGGGUCUCUUCUGACGCUGAGGCACGAAAGCUAGGGUAGCGAACGGG
rnacentral:rRNA from 1 species